UACGGAGGGUGCGAGCGUUGUCCGGAAUUACUGGGCGUAAAGGGCGCGUAGGCGGCCUGCUAAGUCACACGUGAAAUCCCUCGGCUCAACCGGGGAACUGCGUGUGAUACUGGCGGGCUUGAAUUCGGGAGAGGGAUGUGGAAUUCCAGGUGUAGCGGUGAAAUGCGUAGAUAUCUGGAGGAACACCGGUGGCGAAGGCGGCGUUCUGGACUGCAACUGACACUGAGAGACGAAAGCCAGGGGAGCAAACGGG
rnacentral:rRNA from 1 species